UACGGAGGGUGCUAGCGUUGUUCGGAAUCACUGGGCGUAAAGCGCGUGUAGGCGGCCCACUAAGUCUGAUGUGAAAGCCCGGGGCUCACCCCCGGAAGUGCAUUGGAAACUGGUGGACUCGAGUCCCGGAGAGGAGAGUGGAAUUCCUGGUGUAGCGGUGAAAUGCGUAGAGAUCGGGAGGAACACCUGUGGCGAAGGCGGCUCGCUGGGCCGAUCCUGACGCUGAGACGCGAAGGCGUGGGGAGCGAACGGG
rnacentral:rRNA from 1 species